rnacentral:rRNA from 1 species
CCUACGGGAGGCAGCAGUGGGGCAUAUUGCGCAAUGGGCGAAAGCCUGACGCAGCGACGCCGCGUGAGGGAUGAAGGUCUUCGGAUCGUAAACCUCUGUCAGCAGGGAAGAACGGUCACUGUGCUAAUCAGCAGUGAAUUGACGGUACCUGCAAAGGAAGCACCGGCUAACUCCGUGCCAGCAGCCGCGGUAAUACGGAGGGUGCGAGCGUUAAUCGGAUUGACUGGGCGUAAAGCGCUCGUAGGCGGUAUGUCAAGUCAAGGGUGAAAUGCCCGCGCGCAACGUGGGAACUGCCUUUGAAACUGGCAAACUGGAGUGUGUGAGAGGAUAGUGGAAUUCCAGGUGUAGGAGUGAAAUCCGUAGAUAUCUGGAGGAACAUCAGUGGCGAAGGCGACUAUCUGGCACAUAACUGACGCUGAGGAGCGAAAGCGUGGGUAGCAAACAGGAUUAGAUACCCCAGUAGUC